rnacentral:tRNA from 1 species
GGUGGGAUGGGUGAGUGGCUGAAACCAACAGUUUGCUAAACUGUCGUACGGGUAACUGUACCACGAGUUCGAAUCUCGUUCCCACCG